rnacentral:lncRNA from 1 species
CCUGCAUACAAAUACCCUCCUUCAAGUGGAGGUAAGCACUCAUCCUCAUCCUGCAGCAACUGAGACUUGUGAAGAGAGAGCAAGGGCCCGAGGGCCAACUGUCAGACUCACAGGGCACAGGGAGGUGUUUGCUGGAACAGUAGAUAGCUCCUUAACUUGGUCUUUGGAGAAAUGGGAGGCCUCAGGAUAAAGUACAUCUUAUCCAUGGCUUCCAGCAUUAUCGAAAGGAUACCUCCUCCAUUACUGCUCCCCAGCACUGGCUCCCAUGAGACUUCGGGGCCUGGCGCCACGGUCCACCUGGUGUCACCUGGAGGCAGUAACUUGCCUCACUGCUGUUUAAGAGGCUCCCUGCCCCCCAUUAAACCCUACUACUUGAAAAGCAUUUAAUUUAAAAAGUUAAGUGAGAAAAAAAUUUAAAAUUGGAUUAAUGGCAUAGUUUUAAUGUGAUACAUAUGUGUGUGUGUGUGUGUGUGUAUCUUGUUACAGACACAUAUAAUUGUAUAAAAGCAUAGGAAAAAACCUUAGAAAUAAAGAUAAAAGUGUCAAUUGAGUUAUCUCUGGGAGGUGUGAUUGUGAGGGAUUAAUAUAGUUAUUAAUCUACAUAUAUCAUAUAAUCAUGUAUUAAUAUGCCUAUUUAAAAUGAUAUAUAACAUUUAAUAUUUAUUAUAAUAUAUUACAUUAUUUAAAAUAUAUUAUUAAUAUGUUUAUUUAAAAUAUAAAUAAGCAUAUGUACUUUUACUUAAAGUACAUAUGCUUAUUUAUACUUAAGCAUAACUUAAGUAUAUAUAUUUAUUUAAGUAUAUAUUUAAAAGAUAUUUAUUAUUUAAAUAAAUAAGUAUAUAUCUAUACCUUUUUUAUACAUGUGUACUUAUUUAUAUUAAAUAUAUUAUAUAUAAUUUGUAUAUGUAUUUAAUUGUGUGUAUACACACACACACACACACACAUUUUCUUGGCACAAAGCCAUUAAACCCAGUCCCUUUCCUAAUAUGGAAAUACAACUAAGAUUAGUACUUUAGUGCAAGAGAAUUUUAAUGAAGGGAGGAGCAUGGGACAGGUCAGUCUACUCUCAGUAGAAAGUUCUGGAAAUCAGAGUCUGUGAAUUUAAGGACAAGACCAGCAUCAGAACAAAAGCAGAGAAAGGAGAGGAAUAUUAAAAACAGCAACUCAUGGCACUCUGGUGGAGCAGAACAUUCUCUUGAUCUGGCUGAAACCUGCCUUAUUCUCACAUCCAUUUUCCCAGACACCCAGCCCUGUCCCCAUGCCAGCUUUCAUGUCAUACAUAACACCCGCUUCUUAGCGUGCCAGCAAAGACCCUUGGGAACAGCUGGGGAAGCGACCCUGGGCCCACUGCAGGGCCUGACUCCUGCUCCUCUGAUAGGAAUCUCUGUAAGCACAGAAGUGACCCAGACGGGUGCCCACCUCAUGAAUCCAGCAAAGCCUUUAUUCAGCAGUGAAGUCAGGCAGCGGAGGGCUCACUUUCUGGGUGGAAAAUGGCACUGAUUACGGGGGAGGUAUGGGUCUAUAUAGGUUACAUUGGGGGGUGUCUCAGUUCUCGAAGACUGUGACAGAACAUGGACAAAAGGUUGCAAAUAUUUGGAACUUGUUUCCUUCUGGGCACAGUUUUUAAUUACGCAGUAUUUUUACAGGACAGGGAUAGAGGGUUCCGGGUUCAGAGUCCAGUGCUCAUCUGACCUCCAGGGGUCAUUGUAUUGCCAUGGGAAUAAGUUCCAAUGUGUAGUUUCACUGUCACAUCACUGAGAAGUGAUUUAUGGAAAAGAUCAAAGCUUUGGCUUCUCUCUCCCUCCCUCCUCCCAGGUCACACUCUGUGUUGGGGAUUUAUCAAUUCCAUUAUCCUUCAAUCUCACCCCUAGGAAGUACAUCACCUACCUCCCUAGCUGAAGCUGCAUGAUGACCAUUAACUCAACAGCCUUGUGCCUUGCAAAAUGUUAGGUCAGCAGCCGGAAAUCAGGAACCUCUCCAGUACUUGGGGCAAAGUGUCCUUAUGGACAAGAGGGCUUAUUUAGGAUGGGGGUAGGGAGAUGUAGAAGGACUUAGGCAGCAAGGGCAAGAUGGUGAGUGAGGAAGUUAGGGACAGAGCCAGAACAAAGGAGCAUGGAGAGAGUCUUCUAAGGAGGUCAACAUCCUGUUUGCAAAAGUGCUCACAGGCUGGGCAGGCCUGUAAUCCCAGUGACUCAGGAGGCUAAGGCAGGAGGAUUUCGAGUUCAAAGCCAAUCUCAGCAAAAGCAAGGUGCUAAGCAACUCAGUGGGACCCUGUCUCUAAAUAAAAUAGGGCUGGGGAUGUGGCUUAGUAGUUGAGAGCCCCUGAAUUCAAUCCCCAGUACCAAGAAAAAAAAAGAGCUCAUAGACACAAGCAGGGGACUCAAUCAGACAGACACUUCUUGUGCUCUAAGUGGGGAUCCAAUAGAAAAACUGAAACAGGUGUGUGGAUGGAUGGGCACCUAUCAAUACAUUGAGGAGAGAAUGGACAGGGGAGGAGAUAAGGGAAGGAAGAAAUUCCAGAGACCAUAAAAAGAACAAGCCAAAACUCCUCCACCAGAUUCCCGGCUCUGGGGCCCCUUCUCUUUGGAGAAGUCUGUCUCUGUCACUUUUGCAAUAAACCUGCUGCUUGCCUGUAUCUCUGUGUCCUGUUCUUCAAUUCUUUGCUGAAUGGAGACAAAGAACCCAGCACCCCUAGGCGGUAACAGGAGUGUGGAUGGAGGACAAGGAAGGAAAUAGAAAGGAGGAAAAAGGGAGAGAGACGCAGAUAGGCGGGGCAAGUAAUCCAUACCUGGGCAGAGAAGAAGAAGUGCUCUAUAGUGGAAGCCGAAGAGUCCCAGCCUCUGGCACAUUUCCUGUAGCUGAGCUCCAGGGAAGUAAAUCCCUAAAUCUUCUCUGGUAUUAAAAGGGAGGAGAGGGCAGUGGAAUGCCCAGAAUGAAGGGAUCAGGGUCCAGGCCCAGAGAGCCCUCACAUGGGCUGAAGGACCCCCAGAGAGCCCUCACAUGGGCUGAAGGACCUUGAGCAUUCUUUCCACCCACUGCCAGAUUUAAGAUAACAAAAGUCUGGACUUAUUAACACCUGCAAUGUGAGAAAUGUUAGAGAAGGGCUUUUUGCUUGCUUCGGAAGAUUCAUCUUCUUAGGUGUCGUAGGGUUUUUAACACACUGCUUUCCUCCUUCUCCAGGAGACCAGGGCGUCCUAAGAUUCACCCUGCUCAGAGGUGUGGAGUGGUUUGGGUCUCAACAGCGGGGGGAUGCAAGUUCAAUCCAAAAUUGUGAGUUGGAAAUCCACUAUUCUCAAGAGUCCACUACUACUCAAUUAGAGGUUGGUUAAGGCAGCUUGGCCUGCCCACUUACUGACUAGGAGGAGACUGAGACCCCACAAUAGGAAGUGACUUGCUCAAGGUCACACAGCUUGUGAGUGGCAGAGAUGGGGUGAAAAGUAAUUCUUCCUGGCCUACUUUGAGGGCUCCAUACACAGCUAUUACCUGAAUAAUUGUGUCGUCUUGAUUCUUCUUUAGCCCCUUGAAGCAGCUGCCUUGAGCUUUUCUCUGUCUCUGCUAACUCUUCUGCCCAAUUCAGGUGUGAAAGGCAAGCCUUAAGAGACCACCCACAGCUACUUCCCCUUCACACCGAGACCUCCUGCUGGCUUGGGCAGUGCCUACAUCCUAUAUGUCCUCUUAUCGGAGGCUCUUGCUACUGACUUCUCAUCCCUAUAGCAAACCCCAGGGUCCUUGCCUUCUGUGUUGGGGGGGGGGGCAUAUUAUAUGUUUUUCCCCCAGCUUUACUGACAAGGAGUCAACCCCACUCUGAAGCAGUAGACCUACUUAUUUUCCAUAUGGCCUCUCCCAAUUAACCUUUCCUUCCUAUACCAAGUAUCAGCUUUUAAUCGGAGAAGAAGGUGGGGAUACUGAUUUUCUGCUUCUCAUGGUCGCGAAAUGCCAGCUGGAAUGAGCUGCAUUAUGUGUGUUCUGUUGUAGCUGAAUGGGGGAGGCCACUGUGGAACACUGCCAUGAUCCCUGACUCCAAGCAGCCCUAAGAUCUGGUGAGUCUAGAGUUGAUCUGGCUUAACCUCCUUAUUUCACCUCCCUGGGUCUAUGUAGCAGGGACAGAAAAUAACACGGCAUGCAAACCAGGUCUCUCAAACAUCUCUGGAACUUUCCCAACACCUUCCCCGGAGGGUUUCCUGGAAGCUCUCCUGGAUCCUCCUCCCCAGACUACAAUUCCCUAAGUGAUAGAGUUUGAGACAUGAGUUCUGAUCAAGUUUUUCUUUGUAUUUGUCUAGCAUCAUCUGGAAACCUUUCCCAACCGAGAGCUGAACCAUCUUCCUUGCAGCUGGGUCCUUUCCUGGGGUAGGCAUGAGCUGGAAAUCCUCAGUUCUGAGGGGCUCUGUCCAAGAUUACAAUGGGAGAGACCUAGCUCCACAUUCUGACAGUUCAGCAUGUAGAACCAGGCUGACCCUUCUUUCCGGGGUGAGGGCACCUGGGGCAGGGGCAGCUAGGCAGGGAUUUCUCUGUGAGGGAUCCUUGCUCAUCUUGAACUAGGACAGGCACUUUUAGGAAUAUGGAGUCCCUGCCUCACUUUUCAACAGAACACACUAUGGUUGGAGACAAAGAGUGUUCCAGAUGAUCCCUCAUUACCAGCUUUCCACUUGGUCUAGCUCUUUAGGGUAUGAUGUGUAAGGUAGGAAAGAAAGCAGAGAUGUGCUCUUGACAGGACAUCAGCAAUAAGAACAGAAAGGAUUUGAGCCGAUCAAAAUCAAAGAAGAGUGCCAAAGAGCUGCUUGAAGUUCAAGGUUAUAGACAGCAGCCUCCGAGGAUGGCAGGCCUGUUUUCUUGACAGCCAUUCCACCUUGUCUGACCAGCUUCUUAGCUCCAGUAAGGACUUGGAGCUUCCUGAGUGUCAUUGGCCAGUGGUGGUGCCUGGGAAUCAUCCGGGUAACUUUGAAUCUCUUUACACUGGGAAAGAGAUGCAUAUGGCUUCAGAGGUUAAAAACUGUGGGAAGGUGAGAAUGAGCAUUCGGGAAGCCCUGUCCCCUAGGCAAGGAGUUCUAGGUCUGGCCGUGGCUAUUUCUUAAAAAUAAAUAAUAAAAUAAAUAAAUGACAACAGUGAACUAGAAAACAGAGCAAUUCCAGUUGCCUUGUUGCCCUGGUGAUAACAGGCUAUUCUUUUCUCUCCUUUUAGACAAAAAUUGCUCCAACCCAAAAAGAAGAAGUAAUCAAGUCAGGCUUCACUGAGGCAAAUCAUCUCUCAGACGCCUGCCAAUGCUGUCAGAACCUUUUCUGGUCAGAAAUGAAAUGCCCUGAUGCCAUCUGCCCCUAGAAAAAUCAAGAAGGGACUAGGACAACAGCUCAGACAUGGCAGGAGCAGACUGUAGUGGGUAAGAUGUGGGCAGAGAGCAUAAGAGAAUGUUCCUGGCCUCCCUGAGCCUGGGAGUCCUGUUGGAGAUGGUCUUCCCACAGUGAGCUGGGUCCCUGGGCUCCGAGGCUCACUCUGCAGCUGCGUGGCCCUGUGCAAACUCUGGUUCAGGGUUGUUGAAGAAUCCCGUGACAUAUGGAUGGAAGUGUCAUUGAACACUGUGGGAAGCAAGGUACUGUUAUUCUCUGAGGUAAUACAGCAGGGUCUUUUGAUGCUAGAAUCUCCCAUUUUCACAAUGAGGCAUCUAUUGUCUCAGAAAAUCAUCCCAACAACUCUCUGAGCAGCCAUGUCAGGAAUCAUUUAUUUUCAGAGAUGAAGAACAAACAUGCAUGGAGAAGGCGAGUGACUUUCCCAAGAUCACUAGGUGAUAAAUAGCAGUCUGCACACCCUGUCCUGUUCUUGUUCUGUGGUAGCCAUCCAUGCAAAUUCUCAUGCACAAAAGGAAUAGCUGUGCCCUGGAAUUCCAUUCAUUUGCUGACUAACAGAUUCUUCAUAAAGUUAUUGACCUAAAGACUCGAACACUAGUCUUAAUUUUAGAGUAACUAGGCUCAUUUUCUGUCCUUUAAAAAGAGUGACAUGUAAAAUGACAGGGUUCCCCGAACAGUCUCUGAACUGGGGAUGACUGAGGAGAGGUUGGCUGGACGUCUCUAUGGGUUGCAGGAUUCAGCAGAACCAGAAAGCUUUUUGGAGAAUCCUUUCAAUUUUCCAGCCAAAGUGCCCUGCUAUGCGUAUGACCUUUAUUUCCUAGACUUUUCCAAAGGAUGGAAAAUAUUGUGAUGUCCAAAAAGGACUGAGAUCAUCCAGUGGGGCUGUGAUUGCAGGAGGUUCAGAAAAACUGUGGGCAGACAUGACUACUGAGGAGGUGUGAGGUAGGCGAGCAAGUUGUGGGGUGCCUCGCAGGCCCAGGAAGAAGGCCCAGCCCGGCAAGCAUCCAGAAGGAAGUUCCGGAAGCAGCAAAUGAGAUUCUUCACCCUCCUCUGUGAUGAGGUUAGAUCUCCAAAGCAGGACUUCAACUAAUCAAAGGAAAAGUGGUUAUGAAACAGAAUACCUAAAAAUCAGGCCAAAACUUAGACAAGGAACUAGGAAAGAAAAGAAUCUAGUUAUGGAACUGAGGUACCAGGAAAGACCUCAAUCAAAAAGGUAUAAGUCAACUAGGCACAGUGGUACACACCUGUAAUCCCAGAGGUUCUGGAAGCUGAGGCAGGAGGGUUGCAGGUUCAAAGCCAACCUAUAAGCUGGCCUCUGCAAUUUAGUGAGGCCCUCAACAACUUAAAGAGACCCUGUCUCAAAAAAAAAAAAAUUUAAAUGCUGGGGAUGAGGCUUUGUAGGUAAAGUACCCCCUGAGUUUAAUCCCCCAGGACCCCAGCCCCACCCCACCCCCACCAAAAAAUAAGGAACAAGUCAAGAGCCCUGCUCAGUGGACCAGAGAGAAUGUAAGGCUAGCGCCACAAGGUGACUGAUCUAGUAAAAUGCUGACCCAGCGUCACAUGCCUAAAGGCCUUCAGGUAUGGGGCUCAGGCAUGGCUGAACACAAUGUGGACAGGAGGCAGAUUCAACUUCAGAAAGAAAAAAAGAGUUUAGCUGACCCACAUGAAACUGAGUCUUUCCAUUUCUUAAUUCCCUCCCUCUCCACAUUCACCCUGGGCAUACUCAGAUGCAGGUAUGGAAGAACACACAAGCAUGUUAUUUAAAGGGGCUGGUGACACUUGCGAGGACCAACCCAGAUAGGAGAAGAAUCUGGUCUUUCAUGGAGUCUUGCUGAUUGCUUUUUCAGGUUUCUCAUGCCCUCACUUGAAAGAUUCUAGUUCUAACAUGUCCCAAUGCACAGUUUCAGCCACUGUCACAAAUGCAAUCCCCUAGAGAGUGCAGGCUGAUGAUGUAAAUUAGUAAAGUAGCCCAUGAGAGGCAACAGGGAGUGGUAGAGACUGUGGUAAACUUGAGAGCACGUCUCUAAGGGGACCAUGACGGCCAGCUCUGGCCAGCCAACCAGCCUACCUUCUACUAAGGAAAAAAAGAAAAGCCUAACCUGGGACUCCCUGGGCUAACGUCAAGGUGUCAGUAGGGCCAUGUUCCUUCCUGGAGGUCCCAGGGUAGAACCUCUCCCUUGCUGAUUCGGGUUGCUGGCAAGACCCAGUCCUUGCAGUUGCAGCCAUGAGAUCCCCUUGCUGGCAGCAGCUGAAGCCAUUCUCAGCCUCUCAGAAGCUACCUGCAUUUCUUAGCUCAUGGCCUCCUUCCUCCCCCAUCGUUAGGGUUGGCGAUGGUGAAACAAGCUCCUCUCAUGCUUUGAGUUUCUCUGCCUCUCCCACCAUCACACCUCUCCAGUCCCCUCCUCCGCCUCCCAAAUCCCCUUGUCAGAGCCCUCCUGGAUAAUCCAGGAUAAUCUCUGUUUUUAGGUUCUCUAACCUUGAUUUCAUAUCCCAAAUUCCUUUUUCCAUGUACGAUAGCAUAUUCACAGGUUCCAGGGAUCAGGUAUGGCCACAACAAAGACUGCCUCCUACAGUCCCGAGAGUAACCUUCCUAGAAAAGAGUGUGGAAACUCAGAACCAGGCCUCCGAGGCCAUCCCUGCCUCCUAGACCUUGGGCACACCAUUGUCUUCUUGCCAUGUCUUUCUGAUUAUCCUUUCUCAGUCGCCCUGACUCCUCCCCUGCUUCUUCCUUGAAUAUCAGGCUCCCACAGCUCUACUCUCUAGCUUAUCUUCUUGCACUGCACUGCAUCGAAACCCCUACUCCCAGUUUCUCCUCCAAGCUUAGAAUCCAAAUUUCCAAUUACAUAAUGGGACACUGCAAAUUUAAUAUAUCCCAAACUAGCCUUGGCUCCUUCACUCCCUUUCUCAACCCCAGACAGAAAACAUAAGCAUCUCCUUCAGCCGUCCCUCCCCUCCUGCACUUCAGCUGGGGGAGCAGGAAGUCCUCGGGACUUGGUCUUGGAAGCAUCUCUCCAUCCAAUCCUCCCCUCUGCCUACUGGCACAGCCUAGGUCAGCCCCCAUCCUGUGUCAGCAGCACUGGGAAGUCACCUCCUAAUCUUAGCCUCCUCACUCCUCUCUCUACACACAUCCGACACACUCUACUUCACCCCACACAUCAAGAACCAACUCUGAUCUGUUCCAUGUGGAAGACUAUGUAUCCCCCUUCUUUGCCUAAAUGAACAGAGCUUCCAUUCCUUAUCAGAAAACACCAGGCCAUAGAUAAUGUGACUCUAAUACAAGCUUCCAGGUUUAUAUCUUCCUGUGUCUCUCCCCCUCACCCACACAUCCACACCUCUCUCUCUCUCUCUCUCUCUCUCAUUCAUUCCACUUUCCAGCAAUAAGAGUAUCUAAAAUACCCUUCCAUUAUCCUGGUGACAUCAGCCAUCAGUCAGUAUUUAGCAAUAUGAAAAUUAAUUCCAGUGGAAAAACCACAUUGUAGAAUUAAGCAAACCCGUGAAGUAGUUUUGAGUUGAAAAAAGAAAAAUUGAUCUAUGUCAUUGUUUGACUAAGGAAAUAAAGGAUCACUUGAAUAGUAAGAAUAAGAUUUUUUUCUAAAUCACAUGAUGCAGACCUUGAGCGUUAAUUCUUCAGCCUGAGACUAUCUACAUAAGAAACAUAUGAUAAAGGAGAAAAUAAUAAAAUAUUGGUUUAAUUUGGAGGGAACAAAGAGUAGAAAGUGUGAUUUAUGCUAAUAAUCCAGUUUUUAUGAACAGGGGAUAUAUAGUGAUCUAGAUCUUUACACCCUUAUAGACUUGGAUCAUAUACUUUUGAGGGCAGAGACUGACCUAUUUUUCUUUGUACCUCCAGUACUUAACACAGUACUUAACAUGCAUGUAAUCGUUUUCCCCUCAAAAUACAUUGCAUGCAUAAGUAAAUGAAUUGCACUAGUUGCUGGGAAUGUAGAAGAAGAAACAGAAUAUGAAGUUUAUGCCUUUGGUGACCUUAGACAGAGCUAUUACCAGAAAAUCAAAUCAAUAGUCAAUUACAAUUGUGAUAGCACCAGAAAGAAGAAACAUCAGAUGCUAUUUACUUAAUGAAACUUUUUAAUGUUCCAAUAAUUCUUGAUGCCUUAAGAACUGUUUUACUUUUUAGGAAGCACAAACAAUCCAUUCACACCAAAGAGUGGCAGAAAGAGGGAGAGGAAAGAAGAAAGAACAAGAGAAAUGGAGAGAUCUGCCUCCACCUUCACACGAGCCUUUUCAGAUACUUGUGUCAGAGUGACAUGAAAUCUCCCCCUUUUCUACAGCUGUAGACAAAACAUCUGCCCCUCAUUUUGAGUGCCUCCAACUGUUCCAAGUGUCACCCCUGAGGAGGGGGUGGCCCAUGUCUAUAGUGCUUCAGAGUGCCAGUCCUCACCCCUACACCUCCAGCAGGACUGUGGGUCACUAGCCAAAAUAAAGCACAUCCACACUCAACGCUGUGGGCCUGCCAUCCUCUUCUUAAGAAAAAAGGUGUCAGGGAAGACAAUACGUCGCUUCCCAGGGGGCUCCCAGGAUCAUUUCCAAUUAAGAGAUUAGUGGACUUUACACUUCCCAUCCUGGACCAAGAACACGGUUGGCCAGUCUCCUCCAGUGGCUUUGACACCUGGACUGUCCCCUGACCCCCAUUGGGGCCAGGAGGCUCUGCUGCCACUCCUUCAGAGCUCAAGGUUUUCCUCAAGGCAAGCUGGGUUUAAAUUAAAUCUCUGUGCUUCCCAGUAACUCUGUGAUCUCAGAAUUACUAAACCCCCAUCAAGCCCCGUCACCCUUGUGUGUGAAAUGGAGCUGACAACAGGUACCUCCUAGGGUUAUUUGAGGAAUGACUUGAGAUAAUGUGUUUCUUAUUCUUGAAACAUUGGGGCUUUUCCUGCUCUCUUUCUUUUUUAUUUCUAGUGUAAUUUCUGAAAACAUACCAUAUAUGAUUUUUUUUUAUUCUUCAAAUUUUGAUAAAAUGUGCCCAGAAUGUAGUCUACCUUGGUGGUUGGAAAGAAUGUGUAUUCUACUACUGUUACAUGCAGUGGCCUAUCGAUGUCAGAGUAUUCAGUUGAUUUAUGGUGGUGUCGAUUUCAACUAUGUUCUUACUGAUUUUCU